GGACUACAAGGGUUUCUAAUCCUGUUUGCUCCCCACGCUUUCGUGCCUCAACGUCAGAUAUAGUUUGGUAAGCUGCCUUCGCAAUCGGUGUUCUGUAUGAUCUCUAAGCAUUUCACCGCUACACCAUACAUUCCGCCUACCGCAACUACUCUCUAGUCUAACAGUAUUAGAGGCAGUUCCGGAGUUAAGCCCCGGGAUUUCACCUCUAACUUAUCAAACCGCCUACGCACCCUUUAAACCCAAUAAAUCCGGAUAACGCUUGAAUCCUCCGUAUUACCGCGGCUGCUGGCACGGAGUUAGCCGAUCCUUAUUCGUACGAUACUUUCAGUCACCUACACGUAGGUGAGUUUACCCUCGUACAAAAGCAGUUUACAACUCAUAGAGCCGUCAUCCUGCACGC
rnacentral:misc_RNA from 1 species